AUUGAACGCUGGCGGCAGGCUUAACACAUGCAAGUCGAGCGGGAUUUACCUUCGGGUAAUGAGAGCGGCGGACGGGUGAGUAAUGCUUGGGAAUCUACCUAGUAGUGGGGGACAACAGUUGGAAACGACUGCUAAUACCGCAUACGCCCUACGGGGGAAAGGGGGGGAUCUUCGGACCUCCUGCUCUUAGAUGAGCCCAAGUCGGAUUAGCUAGUUGGUGGGGUAAAGGCAUACCAAGUCGACGAUCCGUAGCUGGUUUGAGAGGAUGAUCAGCCACACUGGGAAGGAGACACGGCCCAGACUCCUACGGGAGGCAGCAGUGGGGAAUAUUGGACAAUGGGCGCAAGCCUGAUCCAGCCAUGCCGCGUGUGUGAAGAAGGCCCUAGGGUUGUAAAGCGCUUUAAGUAGGGAGGAAGGUCUGGUAAUUAAUACUUAUCAGGAUUGACGUUACCUACAGAAUAAGCACCGGCUAACUCCGUGCCAGCCGCCGCAGUAA
rnacentral:rRNA from 1 species